GCUGGAAUGGUGGAAUCGGUAGACACAAGAGAUUUAAAAUCUCUCGGCUGCAUAGCCGUGGGGGUUCAAGUCCCCCUUCCAGCACCA
rnacentral:tRNA from 1 species